GGGCAGUGAGCAUCCAGCACGGGUCUCGGCUCUAUUCCUGUCUGCUCCGUUGGAUUUGGGCUUCUUUCCUCUUGGUGAAAUAGGCUACGAGGGCAUCUCAGUGCCCAAAGGUGCCAGGGGAGCAUGGAGUGCCCUCACUGUGAUGCUGAUUAACGUGGCCCCAUGGAUGGAGGGAAGUGUUCUCAAGGCAAGGAUGGGAUGAUGGAAGGAUGUCCUGAUCCUCCCAGGUGAAGACUUCUCCAUGCUAUAGGGGUGCCAAUGCCUGGGACACGCUUGCCCUGUCCCCAUUCUCACAUCCAAAUGAAGUUCAUCCCAACUCGGAGAGCAGAUUGUCCAUUUUUCCACCCUGUGCUUUACAGAGAGCCCUGGCACUGAGGGGUGCCAAGGUGCCCAAACUGCCCCCAAGAAAGGACUUAGUCCCCUGCCACUGGGACCAAGGAAAAGUCCCCAAACACCCAGCAUGGUCGUGCCCCUCCCAUGGGCCACCUCCUAUCCAUAUACAACAAAGCCUGGCAGCGAAUUAAUCUUCAACUGGGCACCGAGGAUUGUUGCUGGAACUUUAUUACAUCGUGUCCUGCCCAGCGCAGCGUUAACCAUUAACCCGGUGGCUCUGAUAUCAGCUCCAGCACCCUGCACUUCAGCUAUCCCUGACAGCAUCUUAUCUGAUCGCACGGCC
ensembl:lncRNA